ensembl:lncRNA
ACCAGAACAACUGACCCCAGCAGGCCAAAGGGAUGUCCUGUACUAUGUGGCACCGUGCUGAAUAAUGCAACUGGGGGACCUGUCUGAGGAGCUACCCCUACUCUGGCUCUGGCUAGGUAUUUGUCAGCAGCCUAGGUUUAAAUAGAAAGAAUUAACUUGGAUAUCUGUGGAGCCUGCAAAGCCAUACUAAGAGCCUUCAGACACGUGGAAGUGUAUUUGCAAGUCAGAGGGGGUGUCCUCCCAGCUGUGAUCCUUUAUCAUCAAAUUCGGAGACUUCAGGUCUCUUCCUCCCUGCGAGCCCAGAAGGACUCCCAAGAACCAGAUGAGGCUUCUCAUAAGGAAGGACUCUACAUCAUCUUAUCUAGAGCUGGCACCUGUGUGAGGCCUUCUGGAGAAACAGCCGUGAAUAUUUAACAAGAGAUAUAAAAAUACAAGGAAAUGAAGACGGAUGUAAGAAGUGCUCUAGCAACCAUUUGUGCUUCAUCUGGAUUUCCCAUAAAACCAAGGGGUUCCAUCUUUUUGCUCAUGGAAUGGCUUGGGUUGGAAGGAAUCUCAAGAAUCAUCAAGUUCCAAGCACCCCUGCUACAGGCAGGGUUUCCAACCGCUUGAUCAAGUAGAAGACCAGGCUGCCCAGGACCCCAUUCAACCUGGCCUUGAACACCUCCAGGAAUGGGGCAUCCACAACCCCUCUGGGCAGACUGUUCCAGCACCUCACCACUCUCUAAGUGAAAAACUUUCCCCUGAUAUCUUAUCUAAAUAUUCCCUCCUUUCAUUUAAAACCACCAUUCCCUUUUGUCCUAUCACUAUCUACCUGUGUAAAAAGUUGGUUUACCUCCCUUUUAUAAAUUCCCUUUUAUUAUUCAAAGGUUGCAAUGAGGUCUCCCUGCAGACUUCUCUUUUCCAGGCUGAACAACCCCAGUUCCUUCAGUCUGUCUUCAUAGGAGAGGUGCUCCAGCCCUCUCUUCAGCUUUGUGGCCCUCCUCUGGACCCUCUCCAACAGCUCCAUAUCUUACCUGUGUUGGGGGCCCCAGACCUUGUCACAGUACCCCAGAUGGGCUCUCAUGAGGACAGAGGAGAGAGAGAGAAUCACCUCCCUUGCCCUGCUGUCCACCCCUCUUCUGAUGGAG